GUCCAUAGUAAGACUAGUUGCAUAUGUAACACGUUCCUUCAUACCCACAAAAUUACAGAAAGCAUCCAGUCACACAUCGAGAGGUCAAUGCUGACGUAUUAAAAUCAAUUUAUUCCAUUUAGGUCAAUGUAUCCUAAUCUGAUUUAGAUUUUUGUUUAUUUCCAUAGUCUCUUCAAGCCGGGAUAGUUCUUUCAAAUAGGUCGCGACCACUCCAAAGUCACUUUUAAUGUUACCAUUUCAUUUCACGCUAUAUAAUAAACCCUGUAAGUAAAACAAAUUUCCUGCCCUCUUUUUCUCUUUCAUAGCUCUCGAUGUAGAAAUCUUUGAUUAUAGCAGCAGCAUGAAUCCAUUAUUGGCAAAUAAAAUUAGAACAAAAGUUUCACAGCAUAAAGUCAAUACUUUCGGAAACUUUCGCGGAGUCCAGGUGAUUUUUUUCUCCCCGCCCCCCACACCUUCUGUUGUACAUAUAAACAGCUUUCAUUUCGUGUCCUCAAAAGUACUUCCAGUUGUGCUGUGUACUCGCUGGCUAACGGUUGGACUUACUUGUUCGUCAAGUGUUAUAGCAGCUGAAGUAUCAACAAUGUCUCAAGCAAGAGAAGUGAGGACAAUUUCGGGUGGUGCGUGGUUGUCAUUGUCUGUUGCUGGACUGGCAUUGUUGAUCAUCGGCCCUGUAUUCGCAAAGGCUCAGUCAUUUUCCCGCGCAUCAAAGGAGACAUCUUCCUAUAAAGGUUUCAGUGGUCUGUGGGCACGAAGUGAUUCAGUGAAACAGGUGUAUUAUCACGAUCAAACUGUGGCGGUAGUCGAACUUGGUCCAGGAAGAAGUCUCGAAAACUGCGAGCUGGUUGAAGUCACUACUCCAAAGGAAGUAGACGACACCUUACGAAGUCUGAGCUCCAUAUCCAUGCCAAUGGACAUUAGUUUUGAGGAAAUGUUCCAGCUAAUGAACCAAUGUCACGACCUUGUAUCUUCGCUGGAAACUUCGGAUAAGUCAAAUAAAUCUCCGCGAGUUACCGAAACAGUUCUUCUUGGCAUUGUACCAGGAACCAAGUGGUGUGGUAAUUCAGAUAUUGCAAAAUCAUACUUUGAUUUGGGCAGAGAAAAAGAUGUGGACAAAUGCUGUCGUACUCAUGACUUAUGUCCUGUUAAGGUGCAAUCUUACAGAACACGUUAUAAUCUCACUAAUGAACAUUUCUACACUAAAUCGCACUGUGCUUGUGACAACAGGCUUUCCCAAUGCCUGAAAAACAAGAACACUCCUCUGGCUAGACUCAUGGGAAAUGUUUAUUUCAAUAUAAUAAAGGUCCCGUGCGUGGAAGAUAUUCCUCCCACCUGUGAUGAAUCUGGCUGCGUGACAAAGAAAUUCAGGAAAGCUCAUCAGUUCGUCUAAGUCAUGAACAGAAUAACUAAUUUUAAUCUUAAAAAUUAAUUUGGCUUUCACUCAUCAUUCAGUACUAUACUCAAACAACUGAACAAAGUCCCACAAGUGGUGAGGAUGAAUGUGUUUGAGACUAUUGCUCCUGUGCUGCAUUGUUUCUCUCUGACUUGUGCCAUCCAGUCCAAAGUGUUUGCCUCUAGCAAUGGUUAUCAUUAUCAGCCUUCCUGCGGACAGGAUGACUAAAUGGCUGUGUGCCACGAUGUGAGAGACUUUGAGGAACUGUGAUAAAGGACCGGGGAGGAAGAGGUCAUGGCUUUCUCAAGACAUUCCAGCAUUUUCUUGAAAGGACUAAGACAAACACAGAAUAAUUUGAGGCAAGUGUUAAAUUAUUAAAUUGUGUGUGUUGAAUGUAUACUUACUUGAGAUCGCUUGUAUGCAGUCCAACCCUGACAUAAUGAGUAAGGGCAUAAAUAGUCGCACAUACCACAUCA